AUUGAACGCUGGCGGCAGGCCUAACACAUGCAAGUCGAGCGGAUGAAGGGAGCUUGCUCCUGGAUUCAGCGGCGGACGGGUGAGUAAUGCCUAGGAAUCUGCCUGGUAGUGGGGGAUAACGUCCGGAAACGAGCGCUAAUACCGCAUACGUCCUGAGGGAGAAAGUGGGGGAUCUUCGGACCUCACGCUAUCAGAUGAGCCUAGGUCGGAUUAGCUAGUUGGUGGGGUAAAGGCCUACCAAGGCGACGAUCCGUAACUGGUCUGAGAGGAUGAUCAGUCACACUGGAACUGAGACACGGUACCGACUCCUACGCGAGGCAGCAGUGGGGAAUAUUAGACAAUGGGGGAAAGCCUGAUCCAGCCAUGCCGCGUGUGUGAAGAAGGUCUUCGGAUUGUAAAGCACUUUAAGUUGGGAGGAAGGGCAGUAAGUUAAUACCUUGCUGUUUUGACGUUACCAACAGAAUAAGCACCGGCUAACUUCGUG
rnacentral:rRNA from 1 species